AGAUAUUUGGUAUAUACAUCAUUAAUAAAGAAACAGGUAUGUCGGCGAAACUUGUCUGCGUAUUGAGUCACCCAGACGUGGAAUAAACGAAAAAACCCUGGGGAAAUAAAUGAUUUGAUUAAAAUUGUUCACAUUUUUAUUACGGUUAUUGCACAGAACCAUACACUGUGACCAAUACAGUUAAAUCUGCCUGUAAUGCAGAAUCACGGGACCAUCAAAAGAAACGGGUGUUAUAUAAUAAUAUGGGUUCGUUGUAGGAAAGUUUUAGUGUUUUUAUAAUAAAAUACAUUCGGCUAUACUUGCGUUUUCCGAUGCCAAUUUUUUUAG